ACAUUUAGGAAUCUGCCUAGUAGUGGGGGAUAGCUCGGGGAAACUCGAAUUAAUACCGCAUACGACCUACGGGUGAAAGGGGGCGCAAGCUCUUGCUAUUAGAUGAGCCUAAAUCAGAUUAGCUAGUUGGUGGGGUAAAGGCCCACCAAGGCGACGAUCUGUAACUGGUCUGAGAGGAUGAUCAGUCACACCGGAACUGAGACACGGUCCGGACUCCUACGGGAGGCAGCAGUGGGGAAUAUUGGACAAUGGGGGCAACCCUGAUCCAGCCAUGCCGCGUGUGUG
rnacentral:rRNA from 1 species